CCUAUUUCCUAAAUUACGAAAUCCUUUCCUUUCACAUUUUGUUUUCAAAUCAAAAACCCUAGAUAAUGCACGAUCUCCUUUAACAAUUGAGUUUCAAGAUUCAUGAAUAUCUGCAUCUUUGAUCGCUAUUAGAAGCAACCAUCCCUUUAAUAGUUUUUGCUUUUCUGUCUAAAAAACCCUAGAUAUCGUCAUCUUCUAUCGCGAUUGGAAGCAACCAGGGUUCUUAAAAAUCAACAUUCAAGAAUUGUUCAAGCUUUUUAAUGGUUUUCAGUGUAUUUUUCCUAAAAUCUAACAUCGCGUUUCAGAUUUUUCAGUGCAUAAUUUUAUUUUGCAACCCCCUACCUUCUAAUUCAUUUGUGUUAUAGGUUAGGUAAUUGGUCCUGGAAAUGUUUUGGUGGCAAUUUGAGAUUAGGAGUUAAUAUGUACUGACUGAUAUAAAAGUAUGAUGAUGAAACUUAAAGUGGUGAAGUUUAACCCUUUCUUUUCACACCUUAAUCAGCAAACAAGAAAAGUUCUGCAACAAAAGGAAGGUAAUCCUUGACUUUCGUGCUUUGGCUUGAUGAAGAAUAACCUGGAUGGAAAAAGUUAUAGCACGAAUCUUGCUUUCACUCCUCCCGUGUAUCUGUAUCUGAGGACAGAAAUUUGUUUCCAUCCUAUAGGAAGAGUAACGUCUGAAAGCAUGAUAUAUAGCCUUGGGAGUCUUUUGGUUGACCUUCUUAGCGGGAAGCACAUUCCGCCAAGCCAUGUAAGAAUACGCCUCCACUCUCCCCAUCACC